GGUGACAGAGUGAAACCUUGUCUCAGAAAAAAAAAAAAAAAAAAAAGACUUUAUUUUAUACAAGAAGCCUCAAGAAUUUCGUGGAACUGGCAUAAUGUUGGUUUAUCUCCAUGCCUGUUUUCAUGAUCUCCUAUGGGGGUUCUGCCAUAAGCUCAGAUUCUAUAAUCUCAAAGCUCUCCUUUUAAAAAGAAAGUACUUAAAUUGGACUGUGGUCUGUGAUAUACAGGACUGGCACUGGGGCUACUGACUGCUACUUACCUCAUCCUGUCUCAUUUUUAAAUUUUUCAUUAAUUAUACUGAAUUAGCUCAGGCAAAAACAUUUUUGUUAAAUGUAAGGCAUGAUUGAGAAAUGACAUGAGAAAAACCUGCUGGGUGCAGACCUGUAAUCACAUCAUAGAUGGUGGAGAGAUAAAGAUGAACAAGACAUAGACACUCUCACAGGAGCUCCUAGGAGGGAAGGCAGAUGCAUAUUAUGUACGCACUGCAGGGAGCCAGGUACCAUGGCAGGAAUAAGCCCAGUUCAUGUCCCGGUGUUGGCACAUGGGACUAUGUAAUCAGUUUGGCCAGGAGGGUUUAGAGAAAGCUUUUCAGGGGAGGUGAUGUUUAAAGCAAGUCUGAAUGAUAAAUAGGACUGUGCCUAGAGGGGAACAGAGUUCAAGAGAGGGAGACAGUUUGUACAAGAAACGAAAAGGGGUGUGGAGGUGCUAACGGUGGGGAGUGUGGAGGUGCUGAAGAUUGGGGAGUGGGAUGGGGGGAUGUGGCCAGAGAUUUGGGGGUGGGGCUUAUGUGUGGGCUUGCCCAGGACAGGCUCAGUUUGUUGGUUAUACCAGAAUGAUUAUACAACAAUGCCACUGUUCCCUUUCAAAAGGGUGCCAGGUCAGACAACAGACUGCAUGUUCACACCACUUCUAGGCUAAUAGAAAUAAGAUACCAGUGAAAGGUUUUAAGCAGAGAUCUGAUUUGGUGACCGUAGGUUCAAGGGUGGAGAAGGGGUGUUAGUUCAUAAGAGUAGAUCUAAGGUGUGGAGAACCAUUAUAAAGACUUGAAAGAUUGUCUCAGGGUAAGAUUAUUAGGGCCUGAAUUAGGUUGGAAUAUGUAGGGGUGGAGAGGAGGGGGACAGCUUUGAGAGAUGUCUGUGUAGUAAAAUCAAUAGGAAUUAGCAAUCCACUGGAUGUGGGGGAUGGGGAAAGAGAAGUCUCAGGUGAUGCUCAGAUGGUACCUCAGAGUCAUUUACCAGGGUAGAAACUGGGAGAAGAUGAUGAAUUCAGCUUUGGACAAGUGGAGUUUGGGGUGCUUGUGGGAAAUUUAAGUUGCAAUGUCUAGGAGAAAUUGGAAAUAAGAUUCCAGAGUUUGGCAAGAUGCCUGGGCCUGAGGUGUUGGUCCAGUGCCAGGUGGAAGACAGGCACGUGGAUAAAGAGGCCCAAUGAGAAGAUUUAGCAAGAAAAGCAAAGCUUACCAGCAGCAGAACUCUGUGGAGCAUUAACAUUUAAGGACUUUGGCUCAUGGAUUAUAAUUUAUCAAACCAACCAAACUCUGUUGAAGGUUUACUUAAUGAACACCCAUUUUGCUAAGAUAUUAUGUGCAGUAGUACCUGAGUGCUUGCUGUAUGCCAGGACUGUUUCACCAGAUGGUUUACCGUCUUCCAAAUGGGCACCAAACUGUUUGAUAAUGAAGUUAGAAGAAAGAACAGAACACAAACGGCUUUGAAAAGUAAUGUUUGCAUUGGUGGUAACAGUGGUUUCUUCCAAGUUUGAUGAUACAGUGUGCUGUGUGCAGGUUUACGCUUAAUGCUGGGGUAAAAAGAACAGAUGAACCUACUCAAAACCUACAGUGAGGGGUCUUCAUUGAACUUAUAUAGAACAAGAAAAACUCUUUUACAAUCAUUGCUUUGUGGAAGUCCUGACAGAGCCUAAGGUGUAAAGUUAUCAACUGGAUCAGAAACCCCUCACUGUUGUUCAUCUUGUUAAAGGAGUCACUCUCCAUCGUGUGCAGAAUUCCCCUAGGCACUGAGGCAGAAGUAGAAGUGAUUUAUUAUUUUGAAAAAGCUGUCUGAUGUCAAUCUGUAUUCUAACUAAGCAUUCCUGGAGCUAAGAACUGGAUCUGAAGUCUGAUCAAAUUGAAAUUUAUUAUAGUGAUGAAACAGCCCUGGAUUUUUAAUACAGCCUUUAGAUGCCAUCAUUGUUGCCAUUUGUAUGAUUGUCACUAUGUUGGACUAAUUUUUAUCUGGAAGAGUGGAGUGGCAAAAAGAAGAAUAGAUUGAAACGAUGGAAACAAGAAAAUGCAUUAAACUAAAUUCAUAACUGCUUUAAUUGGAAGAGAAACAACAGAAAGAAAUUAAAGUAUGACAUCAUCUUAUGUGAGGACAAAAAGAUGUAGUUGGAUUAUUAUGCUCCUAAGAAAUAUGGUGUAAGAUUUUAUGAUUUGAAGAGAACAUAGUGUGCAGUAAAUGAAGUUUGUUUGGACUCAGGGAACCUCAAACUUAAAUGGUUGGCCCACAAAGCAAAAACCAGACAUGAUGUGUCUCCUGAUGGAAGCCCACACAACACUGUGAUCUUACCAAAAAGUAGAGGUAGUUUUGCCCAAAAAUCAAGCCUGAGUCCAGUCAGCCUUCCAGAUCCAACCACCAGUUAAGAGGAAAUACAGGGGACAGAGGAGCAUUUUGAAUUACACCAUGGGAUGUAAUCAGCAAAAUCCAGACUGUGGAAAAAUUUUACAGGAGAAGAGACUUGGUUUCUUCUACCAUACAUUGGAAGAAAAAAGUAAAGGAAAGAGAACCAAAAUAACAAGAGAGAGACAUAUUAAUCAUUUGCAAUAUAUGGGCCACGUUUUAUCCCAAUUCAAACACAAAUUAUAAAAGAAACAUUAACUCCCAGGAGCACCAAUUGUGGCCCAUGGAGUGAGGCAAAGAGCACUGGUGUGGCUAAAUUACCCCUUCUGCAGUACCCAGCAUAUUAUUGGAUGCACUUUUCCUCUCUCCCAAGAUAAGCUUUCCUUAUCUUCUAAUUUCAAAGAUAAGCGUUACCUGUAGGCAACGCACCCGACCUCUAUCCCUGUUGUGGUAGCUACACAUAAACAUAGCCAUCACGGCCAGGUCCCUUGGUUGGUCACAUUUCCUACUGUUAUGAUCACCUUUCACUAUCAACACUGACCAGUGUGCCUGGCUAAUUCCAAACCAUGUCAACAGCUGUAUCGCUUGGGCUCAUGAAGCCUGCCAGGAAGAGCUGUGCACAGAUGAAUUUUGAAAAUGAGGAUGAUUGCAAAGGGACAGAAAGUAUGAGAUGUCGUGGAUGCUGUCUUUUCUUUACGCCUUCAGUCAUUUGAAUGUCAGGACUUCCAAGCCUGGGUAUGCAGUGGGCCUCUGGGGAAAGUGCAUCAGAACUCAGCAAGGAUUGAGCCCCGGCAACUUCCAAGAGACCAUCCUGUCCAACAGAGGCUGUCUUCACUGUGCAGACCUUUGAGCCACCUCAGAGGACACCACCUUCAUGCCCAUCCUUUACAUGCCUCUUUGGUUCAUGUCCCAGUCCCUUGUCCUCAGUGACCAACAUAGGAAUGGUGUCAAUGGAUGAUUAUGGCGUGACAUAGGGUAACUCUUCGCAUAAAAGAGUGGACAGGGCAGGCACCUAACACUUGAGGACACCUAUUCCAGUCAGCCACACGUGUAUUUAUUAGGCCUUAAACAGAUGGGAUAGUUCGGAUUUUUCAGUUUAAAAUCUAUAGGGAGACUUGACUUUUGGCCAAGAUGCUGAAAUAAGUAUUGGAUUUGUCUUCCCAUGUGAAAAACGAAAUACAGACAAAAUAAAUGAAACAAUGAUUUGUAAGACACUAGAUACAUCAGACAACAAAGGCCAGUGAUUCCUGAGAGAGAGAAAACAAAUGAGGUGAGACCUAUGAGUUUUUUCAAACUGACUUAAAAGAGUUUCCAAGCCAUAGUACAGGAAAAGGGAACCAUGUGGAGCCCACCAGACUCCCUGAGUUGAAGACAUGGAUCUGAGAGUCCAGAGAGACUAAGGCCACUGGAGAUCAUGGGAUACAGUACUAGAGAAGAGACAGCUGCACCAAGAGAUAACUCUGGAGAUUUACAAAGUUCUGAGAACCGAUCAGUGUAAAGAAGCUGCCUGAGUCUGGGGAAAGCACCAUUCAAAAGGAGCAAAGAUAACUGUUUCUAGUGGUCACAUGGGGCCAGGAAUAGUGCUUCUGCCACCAACCAGACUGGAAGACUUCAAGAGUCAUGGAGCAUUGGGUAGAGUAGAGUACAUAGAAGGGCCUUGCCUCCUUAGUGGGGACUAGCUAACUCAACUGAGCUUGGCUUUAAAUCUAAAAAGCAAGAUCUGAUAGGGCGGAACUAUUUCCAACCAACUUAACUGUGUCCAAGAUUAAAGCUGAUUUUAUAGAAAUACAACACUAUCACUCAAUAGGCAAAAACCACAAUGUCCGGCAUCCAAGCAAAAAUUACCAGAUGUACAAAGAAGCAAGAAAGUACAACCCAUAAUGGGAGCAAAUCAAGCAAUCAAAACUGACCCAGAACUAACGCAGAUGUUACAAUUAGCAGAUAAGGACAUUAAAACUGUUAUAACUAUAUUCCAUAUGUUAAGUACAAACAUGGAAAAUUUUUAAAAAGACAAGUAGAAAAAUGAAAAUAGAGAAAAUAAACAAAAAGACCCAAAUUGGAUUUCAAACAUAGAUUGCUUUUCUAUGACUCCAUCCUUAUGUUACUUCAAUAAAACCCAUAUGACCUGAACCUGGCCCCUGCUAAUUUAUCUGAACCAUAAGCUCCUACUUAUCUACUCAGUGCUCUCUCUAGCCCAGACUGUGGGGUCAUCCCUGCAGUGCUAACUCAGUGAUGCCCAGGGGUCACUUGACCCUUUAAUCUUCCUUCAUGCCUGCUGUGCCAAUGCCUGACCUGAGCAGUCAUCUCACAGAUGAUUGGAUGGUGCUGUCUGGACCCAUGGCAUAUAAAUUCUUGGUAUUAAGCAGAUACUUACCAAAAAUGGAAGCAAUCUUCUUGUGUUGGUUUCUCAGCAAAACUUUUACACCUGAAUGCCCCUUCUCACUUUUUUUCCCACUCACAUUCUCUUUCUCUUACUCCGCUGAGAAAAUCCUGCAAGAUCUGCCAUCUUUAUGUGCCCGCAGUCCCUCAGGGUGGCCAUCUCUUUUCUUCCUUUCUCCUGGCUGCCAGGGAACCUCUCUUCCUACAGAAGCUACCCGUUUUCCCGGGUGGAUCCAUCCUCUCUGGCCUCUUAACACAUUCUUGCAUGUUCAUUUACCUGGUCUGACCACACUUUGUUUAGUCCCUUGCUCUCCUUUGGCUGCUUCUCCUGUGGUGAUUUUAAGACAGAAAAAAAAAAAAAA